rnacentral:rRNA from 1 species
AGUGAACGCUGGCGGUAGGCCUAACACAUGCAAGUCGAACGGCAGCGCAGUAAGAGCUUGCUCUUACGGGUGGCGAGUGGCGGACGGGUGAGGAAUACAUCGGAAUCUACUUUUUCGUGGGGGAUAAUGUAGGGAAACUUACGCUAGUACCGCAUACGACCUACGGGUGAAAGCAGGGGAUCUUCGGACCUUGCGCGAUUGAAUGAGCCGAUGUCGGAUUAGCUAGUUGGCGGGGUAAAGGCCCACCAAGGCGACGAUCCGUAGCUGGUCUGAGAGGAUGAUCAGCCACACUGGAACUGAGACACGGUCCAGACUCCUACGGGAGGCAGCAGUGGGGAAUAUUGGACAAUGGGCGCAAGCCUGAUCCAGCCAUACCGCGUGGGUGAAGAAGGCCUUCGGGUUGUAAAGCCCUUUUGUUGGGAAAGAAAAGCAGCAGGUUAAUACCCCGCUGUUCUGACGGUACCCAAAGAAUAAGCACCGGCUAACUUCGUG